UUCAGUUUCUCUACAACUGGAUAUCGAACACAAUUUACGAUUCUGUUUGGACCCGAUUUUACACCAUUGGCCCAAAUAAUCGAGGUCAUUGAGUGAGCAUGGUACUCAACCGUCGGAUGAGAAAAUGGAGAUAUUUUUGCUAAGGGAUAAUAUUAUGAGUUUUAUCAUAAUAAUUAUUUUUUAUGAGUUAUCUUGACAUAUUCUUGAAUGGGAUAAGAUAAGAUGCAAGUUAUACCUCCAAGCAAGCGGAACAGUCUGGAAUAAAUUGUUGUUAGCUAUGCAUCGGAUUAGAAUGGCCUGGAUGUAUCUUCAAAAGAUUGACAUCACGUUCGUUGCAUGCACCUAGUAUGAAAGUAUGGGGGAAUGCCAAGAUAAAAGUAUUGGAUAAUGGUGACAUUUAAGAAGCCUGGGGUGGCUAGGACUUUUUAGGGUGAUUAUGAUGUUGUCAGACAUUAUCAAAUCAAAGACUAAUUUGAAGAUGAGAUUGCAUGCAGGAGAUAGAAUUGAAAAGCAAUCCGUGGGGUAUUAAGGAUAAUAUUCCGAGGAAAAUUAUUUUAGCCUGGAUGUCGCAGCAGAUAUACAUCACUAUAAAUACGAG
rnacentral:lncRNA from 1 species